UCCCUCUCAGGAUCACACCUGGAGAGUUUCCAGUACUCUUCCAGUCUCGACUAUGGGAGGGAGAGUCAAGCAGAGGCAUAAUCAUUCCAUUCUUAGCCUGAGCAAUGGCUAGCGAGUGAAAGGCAAUUUGCUACAAGC